rfam:Exiguobacterium sp. AT1b, complete genome.
CGAUGAGGUAGAGGUGCGAUGCUGAUGAGUAAGUAGUCGGAGGAUGACAACGAUGAGGACUACAAAAAGGCAGGAUCGCCGAAGUGCAACACCAUGUCCGUGGGGUUGUGCUGGGCUGACGGGAAAUACCCGUCGGACUGCCAUACAUAUUUACGUAUGGAGCGCUCCAAGUCGG